GACGAACGCUGGCGGCGUGCUUAACACAUGCAAGUCGAACGGAAAGGCCCUGCUUUUGUGGGGUGCUCGAGUGGCGAACGGGUGAGUAACACGUGAGUAACCUGCCCUUGACUUUGGGAUAACUUCAGGAAACUGGGGCUAAUACCGGAUAGGAGCUCCUGCUGCAUGGUGGGGGUUGGAAAGUUUCGGCGGGUGGGGAUGGACUAGCGGCUUAUUAGCUUGUUGGUGGGGUAGUGGCUUACCAAGGCUUUGACGGGUAGCCGGCCUGAUAGGGUGACCGGCCACAUUGGGACUGAGCUACGGCCCAGAGUCCUACGGGGUGCAGCAGUGGGGAAUAUUGCACAAUGGGCGGAAGCAUGAUGCAACAACGCCGCGCGCGGGAUGACGGCCUUCGGGUUGUAAACCGCUUUCGCCUGUGACGAAGCGUGAGUGACGGUAAUGGGUAAAGAAGCACCGGCUAACUCCGUG
rnacentral:rRNA from 1 species